GAUGAACGCUGGCGGCGUGCCUAAUACAUGCAAGUCGAGCGAACGGACGAGAAGCUUGCUUCUCUGAUGUUAGCGGCGGACGGGUGAGUAACACGUGGAUAACCUACCUAUAAGACUGGGAUAACUUCGGGAAACCGGAGCUAAUACCGGAUAAUAUUUUGAACCGCAUGGUUCAAAAGUGAAAGACGGUCUUGCUGUCACUUAUAGAUGGAUCCGCGCUGCAUUAGCUAGUUGGUAAGGUAACGGCUUACCAAGGCAACGAUGCAUAGCCGACCUGAGAGGGUGAUCGGCCACACUGGAACUGAGACACGGUCCAGACUCCUACGGGAGGCAGCAGUAGGGACUCUUCCGCAAUGGGCGAGAGCCUGACGGAGCAACGCCGCGUGAGUGAUGAAGGUCUUCGGAUCGUAAAACUCUGUUAUUAGGGAAGAACAUAUGUGUAAGUAACUGUGCACAUCUUGACGGUACCUAAUCAGAAAGCCACGGCUAACUACGUG
rnacentral:rRNA from 1 species